rnacentral:rRNA from 1 species
CCUACGGGGGGCUGCAGUGGGGAAUAUUGGACAAUGGGGGGAACCCUGAUCCAGCCAUGCCGCGUGUGUGAAGAAGGCCCUCGGGUUGUAAAGCACUUUCAGUGAGGAAGAACGCCUGGUGGUUAAUACCCAUCAGGAAAGACAUCACUCACAGAAGAAGCACCGGCUAACUCCGUGCCAGCAGCCGCGGUAAUACGGAGGGUGCGAGCGUUAAUUGGAAUUACUGGGCGUAAAGCGCGCGUAGGUGGCUUGAUAAGCCGGUUGUGAAAGCCCCAGGCUCAACCUGGGAACGGCAUCCGGAACUGUCAAGCUAGAGUGCAGGAGAGGAAGGUAGAAUUCCCGGUGUAGCGGUGAAAUGCGUAGAGAUCGGGAGGAAUACCAGUGGCGAAGGCGGCCUUCUGGACUGACACUGACACUGAGGUGCGAAAGCGUGGGUAGCAAACAGGAUUAGAUACCCGUGUAGUC